UACGUAGGGACCAAGCGUUGUUCGGAUUUACUGGGCGUAAAGGGCGCGUAGGCGGCGCGGUAAGUCACUUGUGAAAUCUCUGAGCUUAACUCAGAACGGCCAAGUGAUACUGCAGUGCUAGAGUGUGGAAGGGGCAAUCGGAAUUCUUGGUGUAGCGGCGAAAUGCGUAGAUAUCAAGAGGAACACCGGUGGCGAAGGCGGGAUCCUGGGCCAGUACUGACGCUGAGGAGCGAAAGCGUGGGGAGCAAACAGG
rnacentral:rRNA from 1 species